CAGCCGCGGCCUCAAGGGCCAGCGCGUACUCUCCAGCUUCGUUCUGGGAGUCACCCCGGGGCUGCCGACAACUGAAUAAACACACCAAAGCGCUGCGAUCUGUCAAGGGCUGGGGUCGCCU
rfam:Pteropus vampyrus cont1.285283, whole genome shotgun sequence.